GUGAAAAGCACCCCGGAAGGGGAGUGAAAUAGAUCCUGAAACCGUGUGCCUACAAGUAGUCAGAGCCCGUUAAAGGGUGAUGGCGUGCCUUUUGUAGAAUGAACCGGCGAGUUACGAUCCCGUGCAAGGUUAAGCAGAAGAUGCGGAGCCGCAGCGAAAGCGAGUCUGAAUAGGGCGCAUGAGUACGUGGUCGUAGACCCGAAACCAGGUGAUCUACCCAUGUCCAGGGUGAAGUUCAGGUAACACUGAAUGGAGGCCCGAACCCACGCACGUUGAAAAGUGCGGGGAUGAGGUGUGGGUAGGGGUGAAAUGCCAAUCGAACCUGGAGAUAGCUGGUUCUCUCCGAAAUAGCUUUAGGGCUAGCCUCAAGGUAAGAGUCUCGGAGGUAGAGCACUGAUUGGACUAGGGGCCCCUACCGGGUUACCGAAUUCAGUCAAACUCCGAAUGCCGAUGACUUAUCCUUGGGAGUCAGACUGCGAGUGAUAAGAUCCGUAGUCGAAAGGGAAACAGCCCAGACCGCCAGCUAAGGUCCCAAAGUAUACGUUAAGUGGAAAAGGAUGUGGAGUUGCUUAGACAACCAGGAUGUUGGCUUAGAAGCAGCCACCAUUUAAAGAGUGCGUAAUAGCUCACUGGUCGAGUGACUCUGCGCCGAAAAUGUACCGGGGCUAAACGUAUCACCGAAGCUGCGGACUGUUCUAACGAACAGUGGUAGGAGAGCGUUCUAAGUGCUGUGAAGUCAGACCGGAAGGACUGGUGGAGCGCUUAGAAGUGAGAAUGCCGGUAUGAGUAGCGAAAGACGGGUGAGAAUCCCGUCCACCGAAUGCCUAAGGUUUCCUGAGGAAGGCUCGUCCGCUCAGGGUUAGUCGGGACCUAAGCCGAGGCCGAAAGGCGUAGGCGAUGGACAACAGGUUGAUAUUCCUGUACCACCUCCUCACCAUUUGAGCAAUGGGGGGACGCAGGAGGAUAGGGUAAGCGCGGUAUUGGAUAUCCGCGUCCAAGCAGUUAGGCUGGGAAAUAGGCAAAUCCGUUUCCCGUGAAGGCUGAGCUGUGAUGGCGAGCGAAAUUUAGUAGCGAAGUUCCUGAUUCCACACUGCCAAGAAAAGCCUCUAGCGAGGUGAGAGGUGCCCGUACCGCAAACCGACACAGGUAGGCGAGGAGAGAAUCCUAAGGUGAUCGAGAGAACUCUCGUUAAGGAACUCGGCAAAAUGACCCCGUAACUUCGGGAGAAGGGGUGCUUCUUAGGGUGUUAAAGCCCCGAGAAGCCGCAGUGAAUAGGCCCAGGCGACUGUUUAGCAAAAACACAGGUCUCUGCGAAGCCGUAAGGCGAAGUAUAGGGGCUGACGCCUGCCCGGUGCUGGAAGGUUAAGAGGAGCGCUUAGCGUAAGCGAAGGUGCGAAUUGAAGCC
rnacentral:rRNA from 1 species